rnacentral:snRNA from 1 species
UCGAUUUGGCAGCACGUAUACUAAAAUUGGAACGAUACAGAGAAGAUUAGCAUGGCCUCUGAAAAA